rnacentral:rRNA from 1 species
UGCGCAGGCGGCCGGGUGUGUCAGAUGUGAAAUCCCGAGGCUUAACCUCGGAACUGCGUCUGAAACUACUCGGCUAGAGUAUUGGAGAGGGUAACGGAAUUCACGGUGUAGCAGUGAAAUGCGUAGAUAUCGUGAGGAACACCAGAGGCGAAGGCGGUUACCUGGACAAUUACUGACGCUCAGGCACGAAAGCGUGGUAGCAAAAG